UCAGCUGUGCACCAUCUUGAGGUUUUGUUGAUCCUCCGUUCUCUUUCCUUAUCUCCCGUUUUAUCUCCCAUUUCUCGGCGAUGGAGGAAGUGGAGGAGAGAGGGCAAGGAGGCCAAAGAUGGAGGAAAUGCCCAGGGAGGGAGAAAGUGGCAGAAUUCUCGAUAAAAGGAGAGAAAAACGCGGAAAUAUGAGGUGGCUUGAGAGAUUCGCCGCUCCAGGUCUCGGAGGCAGCCCAGUCCUCGGUCUUGGUUGGGAGUCUGUUUGGUCGUCACCAUGGACUGUGGACUCGGCUCUUCCCAAUCUUAGUCAGCUGGUGAAGGAAGGAAUGAAGGAAGGAUAAGCAACCAUACUUGGUUCAGCCAAGUCCAAAGUGACCGAGCAGUCGUGCAACCGAAUGGCUACUGGCGGUCCUCCAGUGGGUGACCAGAUGGCGACCAUGACAAGAUUCACACCUUGACCCCACACUUGCAGUCAGAUCAAGACGCCAACCAGUGACCGACAGGCUGGGACUGGUUUACAUCCUGCCGCAGUGAGGAUGUCAACCUCCCACAUCAACCUGCUGCUGGCAUCACACACCCCUCACACAGCUCCGCUAUGCACGGUCACACGCUGUAGUUUUUCUUUCAUGCAUUAUGAUCAGCAGUUAGAGUAAUUUUAUCACCCAGUUGUAUUACAUAUUGCUCUUUCUCAAUUUGUAAAUUAUUUGCAAAAACAAUAAUUUUAUAUAAUGGUAAUGAAAGUAUGAGCAAAUCUAUGUGCUCUUUCAUAUUUUAGUAAGUAAAAUUACACCAGCGUGACAACUGCUUAAGAACUCCACAGACUCUUAUUGUUUUUGCUGUGUACAUCAUGUCCUGCUGUACUUUGGUUAGGCAGUGGUGAUCUAUACGCAUUUGGCCGUGUUCCAGACCUGUGGAGCAGGUCGAGUUGGGACGGAGCUUGGACAGGCUGAGGGAAGUCACUGCUCAGGAAUGUACUUCAUUUCCCAUCAAGGGUGGUUAGACCUACCACUGGUCGCCACACAACUCCCUGUGUGGUGGGACACCAACCACAGCCAAUGACAGAUGCAAAGUGGAUGGCAAACAUCAGCGACCCCCUACUACCUGAUGCCAACUGGACGGCGUCUGCUCGCCAUCUGGUUGCCGUCCACCAGCUAACAGUCAUAUGUCGGCCACUGGUGGCUGUCCACUUGCCAUCCAGACGCAGUCCAUUCGACCACUGGACGGCAGUCUUUUUAUGACUGGAAGAGACCUGAGAGGUCAACUGAAGGUUUUCAGUGCAGCACCAAAAACCUCCAGACGACCUUUUUGGUUGUACGACGGACAGAGACGCACGAGAAUCGCACACAUGGCCAUGUGCGACCUCCUGCGACCUGCAGGUUGCAGGAGGUCAGUAUUAGGUCAUAAAGUCAGUGUGACUGGGGUUUAAGGAACCAGGACCGGCAAGCCCUUCCAUAUUUGUGUUGUCUGUUAUCUCACAACUUCUCACUCUUCCAGGGCAGACCUUCACAGCAGAGGACAACACAUGCAUUGGCUGUGGAUGAAGGACUGAAGCAGGUAUUCUAAGGCACUGGGCUGCCUCAAGGAUGAAAAACUGAGGCUCCUAUUCUCUGACACUCUGGGUUCUCACGACAACUGUUUCCCAAGACCACGAAGGAGUAAAGCCUGAUGCCACUGCAGAGUCCAAGAGUUUCAAGAUUAGUUCUUCAAUGCUCUUGAAGGUGCUGAAGUCACAGGCAGGAGGAUACACAGCCACCAACCCUGUGUGUUUGUAGUUCAGCACACUGGAAGGGCCUAGAGGAAGUGUAGGGUAGUGAUGGUGGGUAGCCAACACUCAA